CUACGGGGCGCUCCAGUCGAGAAUCUUCCGCAAUGGGCGCAAGCCUGACGGAGCAGUGCCGCGUGAGGGAUGACGGCCCUAGGGUUGUAAACCUCUGUCAGAAGGGACGAAGAACGUGACGGUACCUUCAGAGGAAGCCAUGGCUAACUACGUGCCAGCAGCCGCGGUAAUACGUAGAUGGCGAGCGUUAUUCGGAUUUACUGGGCGUAAAGGGUCCGUAGGGGGUCUGCCAAGUCUGAUGUGAAAUCCUGCGGCUCAACCGCGGAACUGCAUUGGAAACUGGCGGACUAGAGUGUGCGAGGGGUGAGCGGAAUUCCUGGUGUAGCGGUGGAAUGCGUAGAUAUCAGGAAGAACACCGAUGGCGAAGGCGGCUCACUGGCGCAUCACUGACCCUGAGGGACGAAAGCGUGGGUAGCAAACAGGAUUAGAUACCCUGGUAGUC
rnacentral:rRNA from 1 species